rnacentral:lncRNA from 1 species
UGGCGUAUUAAACAACAAGAAGCAAAAAAACUAAGAAGAAAAGAUUUGGAGAAGAAACUUUAACUCGGUUAACUUUGUGGACAAGCAAAAACAUUAGAGAGGAGGUUAAAAAUAUUAUGUAUCCCCAUUCUCUCAUAUAAAGAAUACAGCGUGUUUUGGUCACAGUUAAUCUUAAAAGUUUAAAGUCUACUGGGAUGCUUGAAUAGAAUGGAGCCAUCAACAUUAUUAAUUACACCUGUGCUUUUUGUAUCACGGCAAGUAAAAAAUGCUCGCUGUGAAAUUAACUCUGAGGGACAUGUGGUAAGUCAAAUCUCGAUGAGGCUCCUGACUGAUGUGAUGAGGAAAUGUUUCAUUCAAGGGCGUUUUGGUCACGCAGAGAUCCAUGCCAGCAUCCCAUGCGGCCGAUUGCCUCCAAAGUUAUCCAAAAUGUCCAGCUCUGCGUAAUGAUUUUUCCAGACAGCUGACUGGCCCGGUUCGCUCACAUCACUCCACAGAUUUCACCUGAUAAUGCGCUUAGACACAGUGGCUGAUCACAUUCACCUGACCUUGCUGCACCAGCUAACUUGGGAGAAGAGAUGAAGAGAACGUUUCCGCUUAUCUGUCCCAUUUGCUGGAGGAGGAGAGAUUCUCCAAACUCUCACUCCCAGCGUGGCUCCCAUUGACUUUGAACCUUUUGUUUUACUCAGGCCACGGAUAGCAUCUCAGGAGCUGCUGGAGUCGUGCACACAGACUCUCCAAAUAUAAUUAGCCAUUAUGAAUUGAAGAAACAUGGGAAAACUCCGAAGGAUGUGACGGAUUCAUCUGCCUGGUUUGGCACUAUGUUGUCACUUUCUUGUUGUUUUGUAGCACUAAUUGCAUUUGUCAUUGAAGGCUGACUAAAUCAGGCAACUAAUGAGAUGCUGAUUAAAGAUUCCAAAAUUCACUCACUACUGAUUUGGUGUUAUUUUAGCAGAAAAAUUAGGAUAAUUUUCUCUAAUGACACUUGUUAAGGUAAUUACUCUAUAAUUGCCUUAUCAAGGUGUCAUAGACGAGGCAAGGCAAAAAUAUCACUACCCCUUAGGGGCACUUUGUUACUCUCUAUUUAUCUUUUAUUCUGUUAAAAUAACAGAUUGAAUAAGUGUGUGUGUGUGUGUGUGUGUGU